UUCCCUGAUCUAAAAUGGCUACUGCUGCUUCGCCAGGCCCACCUAAGCUGCAAACUAGCUGGCAGACUUACUCUAGGCCCUGCAAUCCUGGCUGCAAAAGCCCCGGGGGAGUCAACGCGUCUCCUGUGAUGGAAAGGUUCUGCCAAGGGAUUGAGGACUGGAUUGCCGGUAUAAUUCAUUUUAAUGCCUUCCCUACAUACUAAUCAUUUGCAAAGCUCCAGGAAAAUCCAGUUCUUGGCAGGCUUGCCAGACAUCAACAUUUAUUGCCAUCAAUCAAGGACAAUAGGAUGGCCGGCUUGCAGGCCACCCGGGACUUGCUGGCCACUUGGACAUUACCUAUCUCCAUAAUCCUCUCAAGAAUUCAUUGUUUCCCUCUCGUCCCGCCUCCCUCUCUCCUGAUUGGUCAGGAAGCCAAGACGGCAGAAGCCCAGCGAUUUGCCGAGGUGCUUAGGAGGCGGCCAAACCUCCUCCCAGCUGUAAGGCGCCAGCCAAUCAUCGUCGAGCCGGCAGAGGGGCAGGGAGCGGGAAAUUCAAACCUGACAGCUCUGUUUUAUGUAUAGAAAGGCCUUAUUUCUGUACACUGCAUGCUCUGCUUGGUGAAAUAUUGUUGCUUUGCAUCCUUUCCAGCUGGAUCACAAUAAAAUAAACUUG